CCGGAGUUCUGAUCAGACACACCUGGCACCAAUCACACACUAGUACUUAGAGAAGACAGCCACCGAGAAUCGGCGCGAAGUAUACGCUCAGUAGCCUAGUUUGCUGCGUUACCAAGCCGAUCUAGUUCGCUGUUUCUUAUAAUCCUCGACCCUCGCUUCCUGUCUCGACUACGCUUUCUGGAUAUCCCCAUUUGUAUUGUUCGCCCGAUCGCUUGACCCUUGCUGACUCUACGACUACGCUUCCUGAACUUCCCGACCCUACUCUGUUCACCCGCCUCCCGCUCCUGCUUCCGUACCGUCUCAAGCACAUUUCGGAACGACCCCCUGUCCACCGCCGAAAGCGCCAACAACGAGCACGUGAGCAUCAGAACUGGACCAUGCAGCAACGGAAGAUGUAAAAGAAAGCUCCACGCUUUCUUGUGUGCGUCACUUACCUGGGGAAGAGAUGGCGGCACCUGGAUGCACUAUGGGAAGAAGGCGAGCUGGUGGAGGCAGUGUGCUGCUCUGGGCAAUGUUCUGCUGGGAAACCUUGGGGCCUGGCAUUCAUCUGGACGUUACUUUGUAUACAGUGUUUUACGCUUUAGUUGUGUGGUCUAUUUUUAUCUCUUUUUGUGGAGAGGUGUGAAUUGUUUGCUGAGCAGUGGGCUCACACCCAUCCCUUAUCCCAUCGACCCUGCUCACCAGCAGCGACACACAGAGUCACGAUACUCUACACACAGAAACCCAACCGCGUCCGGACUCCUCUUAUACCAAAUCUGCAGCGAUAAAAUAAUUCAUUUGUUUAGCCUGAUUGAAAAUGUUCGAUUCAUGUGGCAAAAAUAAAAUAUUUUGACAUCA